GCCAAAAGGUCAGUUCUUGUUGUCUCUUUUGCACUUUAAUUCUAGUACACUGAUACUUGCUAACCACUUAUAACCCUAGAUGCAGAAUGAGAACUUGGGUUAUUAACAAUAAACAAGUCAACAGCAGAAAGACUUGACCUUUCUUUUGAAUUGCCCUACAGUGUUAAAAAAUACCAAACAAACCUCCUUCCCCAAAGAAACACCCCCCAAAAUACCCCAACAACUCACCAAACAGAAAAUCACCGACAACCAAAAAGCGGAAGUAACAAACGUGAACAGCAAGUGGAGGAAGAGUUUGAAAGCGGGAUGGACAGAAGCACAAGUGUUACUGCCCACUCUUAGGCCACUGUGCUGAUUCAAUGGGUGUUGUUAGGUUUAGAUUAGUAGUUUGUUGUUGUUGGGUUUUUCGGUGGUGUUGAUUUUUUUGUUGUCGUUGUGGGGGAUUGUUCGUUUGUUUGGUUUUAUUUUGUUUUUUUUUCUGGAUUAAAAAUCUGGCUCAGUUACUCUCUAGUUCUGGUGUGUUUUCUUUUCCAGGUGGUUGGUGUUCCUGCAGUGUUUGGCACAGGACCGGGUGAGUUUUUUACCCAGCUUUCUAAAGCUGUAGAUGAAUAGGAGAGAGAGUAUCGUCCAGAAUACGAGCGCCUGAGAAAAACACCGAAUCCACAUGUAAAUCUUUAUCUACGGGAGAAAGCUCAAAAUAAACAAAAGAGAGAGCAGCUGGAACACUUGUGGAAGGACAUGGGCAGCGUGUGUGUGCAGGGCAGCACACUGGCAGGUACCUCCCCGGGAGGAUAAAGUUUACUGCAGAAGUUUUCUGAA